AUUCGGCCACACAGCCUCACACUUCUGUGACCUGGGGGCUCCAGGGAAGGUGAGGGGCAGCCAGCAGCUCUGAGCCAGCUGGGCAGCCACGGUGAGGCUGGAGGUCCGCAGCGGGAGGUUCGGUGGGAGCUGGGAGCGGCUGCUCACCCGGCCUCUGCCCCCAGAGCAGCUCGUGCUGGGUGCCUCGCAGGAGCCGGUGGGCCGCUGGGACCAGGACUAUGACAGGGCUGUGCUGCCACUGCUGGACGCUCAGCAGCCCUGCUACCUGCUCUACCGCCUCGACUCACAGAAUGCUCAGGGCUUCGAAUGGCUCUUCCUUGCCUGGUCGCCUGAUAACUCCCCUGUGCGGCUGAAGAUGCUGUAUGCGGCCACACGCGCCACAGUGAAAAAGGAGUUUGGAGGUGGCCACAUCAAAGAUGAGCUCUUCGGGACUGUGAAGGACGACCUCUCUUUUGCUGGGUACCAGAAACACCAACUCCCCUGUGAGUCCUGGGC